rnacentral:rRNA from 1 species
UACGUAGGGACCGAGCGUUGUCCGGAAUCAUUGGGCGUAAAGAGCUCGUAGGCGGUUUGUCGCGUCUGCUGUGAAAACUGGGGGCUCAACCCCCAGCCUGCAGUGGGUACGGGCAGACUAGAGUGCGGUAGGGGAGACUGGAAUUCCUGGUGUAGCGGUGAAAUGCGCAGAUAUCAGGAGGAACACCGGUGGCGAAGGCGGGUCUCUGGGCCGAUACUGACGCUGAGGCGCGAAAGCCAGGGGAGCAAACGGG